ACGAACGCUGGCGGCGUGCCUAUACAUGCAAGUCGAGCGGACUGAUUAAGAGCUUGCUCUUCUGACGUUAGCGGCGGACGGGUGAGUAACACGUGGGCAACCUGCCCUGUAGAUCGGGAUAACACCGAGAAAUCGGUGCUAAUACCGGGUAAUAUCUGAGAUCACAUGAUCUUAGGUUAAAAGAUGGCUCCGGCUAUCACUACAGGAUGGGCCCGCGGCGCAUUAGCUAGUUGGUAAGGUAAUGGCUUACCAAGGCGACGAUGCGUAGCCGACCUGAGAGGGUGAUCGGCCACACUGGGACUGAGACACGGCCCAGACUCCUACGGGAGGCAGCAGUAGGGAAUCUUCCGCAAUGGACGAAAGUCUGACGGAGCAACGCCGCGUGAGUGAUGAAGGGUUUCGGCUCGUAAAGCUCUGUUGUUAGGGAAGAAACAGUACCGAACGAACUAGGUCGGUACCUUGACGGUACCUAACCAGAAAGCCACGGCUAACUACGUG
rnacentral:rRNA from 1 species